rnacentral:rRNA from 1 species
GAUGAACGCUGGCGGCGUGCCUAAUACAUGAAAGUCGAGCGAACGGACGAGAAGCUUGCUUCUCUGAUGUUAGCGGCGGACGGGUGAGUAACACGUGGAUAACCUACCUAUAAGACUGGGAUAACUUCGGGAAACCGGAGCUAAUACCGGAUAAUAUUUUGAACCGCAUGGUUCAAAAGUGAAAGACGGUCUUGCUGCCACUUAUAGAUGGAUCCGCGCUGCAUUAGCUAGUUGGUAAGGUAACGGCUUACCAAGGCAACGAUGCAUAGCCGACCUGAGAGGGUGAUCGGCCACACUGGAACUGAGACACGGUCCAGACUCCUACGGGAGGCAGCAGUAGGGAAUCUUCCGCAAUGGGCGAAAGCCUGACGGAGCAACGCCGCGUGAGUGAUGAAGGUCUUCGGAUCGUAAAACUCUGUUAUUAGGGAAGAACAUAUGUGUAAGUAACUGUGCACAUCUUGACGGUACCUAAUCAGAAAGCCACGGCUAACUACGUG